CAAUUCUUCUACUUCAUGUCCGCAAAUAAAGCAACUAUGCAUUCAAAUUAUGCGAAGGAUACUUAAGAAAAAAUAAGGUGACCCGUAUUUUGAAAUUCUAAAUUGUUGCUCUUUCGAUGUUUUUUUAUACGCCCAUCAAAGUUUUAUAUGUAUAAGUUUCAAAGUACUUGUAUGUUAUUCAGCAUAAUGCUAUUUGAAAAAAAAAUUCCCGCCCAAGAUAACAAAACCCCAAAACAAAUAAGAGAAAAACAAAACAAAACAAAACAAAACAAAACAAAACAAAACAAAACAAAACAAAACAAAACAAAACAAAACAAAAACAAAAACAAAAACAAACAAACAAACUCCAAAACAGACAAAAUCCGGGGUAAAACAAAACAAAACACUCAAAUUAUAUAAAAGAUACAAUUUCGAUGGCUAAUCGAAUGUUUAAUUUAAACUUUCAGGUAAGUCGCACGAGUUGUUCUCUGAACGAGAAGGACACAGCGGAGGUGUUCCAGUGCCCAUGGGAGAGAUUUCCAAACAUUCAUUAGUACCUAUUAUUGGAAGUAGAGGUUAUCCGAUGCAAAAAGAAUGUAGAUAUUGCCAGAGAUAUAAGAUAAAGUCUAAAUCUGGAAACAGACUGCGAAC
rnacentral:lncRNA from 1 species